rnacentral:misc_RNA from 1 species
AACAAUAUUCUGUGCGAUUUUAUGAAAUCCUUCAAAAAGGAAUUACGAUUGUAUUAGUCAUCCAAAAUUAAUAUAAUUAACUGCUGGUGUGAAUGUUUCAAAAAGAUUUGUAUAACACGUAUCAUAUGUUAAUAAAAAUUUGUUAUAGUAAUCGCGACUUUAACUGUACACGAGGUAAAUUCGAAGCAAUACGUACAAAUUUGAAGAUUCCACUGGAAAUAGUAGUGGUACUCGACAAUCUAACAAUGGAAUGACGAUUUAAUUUUGUUAUAGACAAUGAAGACGAUUGUUACAACGCAGAAACGUUCAAGUUUUAUUUCAUCUCUUUUCUCUCUGGACUAAUCUCGUGGACUCUCGAUUCACGUAUACGAAGCCAAUGAAAUUUUCUUUAUUUACACUGAAUACGCAGGUGGAUGUACAUUAAAGUACCCAGAAGGAAGGUUAUGGUACAACGUUAUUCGUCGGCCUUUUUGUUAAUCGAACAAAUAGAUCUUUAUGAAGAGAAAUCAUUUACGGUUGUAAAAUUAUCUACGAAGGCAUAAAUCAAUAAUUAGACUAAUUAGCGAC